rnacentral:rRNA from 1 species
CGGGGUGCAGCAGGCGCGAAACCUUCCCAAUGCGCGAAAGCGUGAGGGGGAAACUCCGAGUUCCUCCAUUUGGAGGAUUUUGUAGUGUGUAAGAAGCACUGCGAAUAAGGGCCGGGCAAUGCCAGUGCCAGCCGCCGCGGUAAUACUGGAGGCCCGAGUGAUACUCACUAUUAUUGGGCUUAAAGCGUUCGUAGCCGGUUUUUUAAGUCUUUUGUGAAAUCCUGCUGCUUAACAGUAGGUCGGGCAAGAGAUACUGAAAGACUAGAGGAUGGGAGAGGUUGGAGGUAUUUCAGGGGUAGGGGCGAAAUCCUAUAAUCCUAGAAGGACCAUCUGGGCGAAGGCGUCCAACUAGAACAUGCCUGACGGUGAGGAACGAAAGCUAGGGGAGCAAACCAGAUUAGAUACCUGGGUAGUCCUAGCCGUAAACUAUGUGGACUGUGUACUGCGGGUGCUUAGGGCUCCCGCAGUGCUGAAGGAAAACCGUUAAGUCCACCGUCUGGGGAGUACGGUCGCAAGGCUGAAACUUAAAGGAAUUGGCGGAGGAGCACCACAAGGGGUGGAGUCUGCGGUUUAAUUGGAUACAACGCCAGACAACUCACCAGGGGCGACGGCAGAAUGACAGUCAGAUUUAAGAUCUUGCUUGACAAGCCGAGAGGUAGUGCAUGGCCACCGUCAGCUCGUACCGUAAGGCGUACCCUUAAGUGGGUUAACGAGCGAGACCCAUACUUUCAUUUGCUACCGUUCAUCUUUGAACGAGCACUAUGGAGGGACCGCUGACGACGAGUCAGAGGAAGGAAUGGGCGAUGAUAGGUCAGUAUGCUCCGAAUCCCUUGGGCUACACGUGGACUACAAUGACAUGAACAAUGGGAUGCAACUCCGAGAGGAGGAGCCAAUCCCCCAAAUCAUGACUCAGUUCGGAUUGAGGGUUGUAACUCACCCUCAUGAAGAUGAAAUCCCUAGUAACCGUAAGUUAACAUCUUGCGGUGAAUAUGUCCCCG